UACGAAGGGGGCUAGCGUUGCUCGGAUUGACUGGGCGUAAAGGGCGCGUAGGCGGUUCGUUCAGUCAGACGUGAAAUUCCUGGGCUCAACCUGGGGGCUGCGUUUGAUACGUGCGGGCUUGAGUUCGGAAGAGGGUCGUGGAAUUCCCAGUGUAGAGGUGAAAUUCGUAGAUAUUGGGAAGAACACCGGUGGCGAAGGCGGCGACCUGGUCCGAUACUGACGCUGAGGCGCGAAAGCGUGGGGAGCAAACAGG
rnacentral:rRNA from 1 species